rnacentral:siRNA from 1 species
UGUUUCAGACUUAAUGCCUGGGAA